AGAGUGACUUUCAUACCUUCACCAUGGAGCUACACAUCUUGAUAUAUCUCUUGAUGAUCUUACCUGCAUAUAUUGCAUUACAGAUUACAUUAACAGAGUCUGGUGGUGGCCUGAAGAAACCAGGAGAGACUCUACAACUGACUUGUAGAGUCUCUGGAUUUUCCAUCACAAGCUACGGAGUGCACUGGGUCCGUCAGGCCCCUGGAAAGGGGCUGGAAUGGAAUGGCGUUAUCUUGAGUGGUGGAAGCACUAAGUAUAACAGUGCGCUCCAGAAUCGGAUCAGCAUCACACGGGAUACAUCCAAAAACCAAGUGUUCCUUCAACUGAAUGGUUUAAAGUCUGAGGACUCGGGCAUUUAUUACUGUGCAAGAGACACAGUGAAGAAAGGCUUUGCUCAAGCUAUACAGAAACUUCUCUUCCUCAAAAUGAGGCAUUGGGGAGUUCGUGUGUGGGAGCUGGCCACAUCUGUUUAUCAUGCUCUUUUAACUGUGAACAUCUAA